rnacentral:rRNA from 1 species
UGGGGAAUAUUGGGCAAUGGGGGAAACCCUGACCCAGCAACGCCGCGUGAAGGAAGAAGGCCUUCGGGUUGUAAACUUCUUUUACCAGGGACGAAGGACGUGACGGUACCUGGAGAAAAAGCAACGGCUAACUACGUGCCAGCAGCCGCGGUAAUACGUAGGUUGCAAGCGUUGUCCGGAUUUACUGGGUGUAAAGGGCGUGUAGGCGGAGGAGCAAGUCAGAUGUGAAAUCCCGGGGCUUAACCCCGGAACUGCAUUUGAAACUGUUUCCCUUGAGUAUCGGAGAGGCAAGCGGAAUUCCUAGUGUAGCGGUGAAAUGCGUAGAUAUUAGGAGGAACACCAGUGGCGAAGGCGACUUUCUGGACGACAACUGACGCUGAGGCGCGAAAGCGUGGGGAGCAAACAGGAUUAGAUACCCUGGUAGU